UUAUGUCUUGGGCUUCACGCAUGUUACAAUGGCCGGUACAAAGGGCUGCGAUGUCGUAAGGCGGAGCGAAUCCCAAAAAGCCGGUCUCAGUUCGGAUUGAGGUCUGCAACUCGACCUCAUGAAGUCGGAGUCGCUAGUAAUCGCAUGAUCUUGCAACGCUGCGGUGAAUACGUUCCCGGGCCUUGUACAGACCCUUCAAGUCAUGAAAGUCGGUAACACCC
rnacentral:rRNA from 1 species